CUACGUAGGGAGCGAGCGUUGUCCGGAAUUACUGGGUGUAACGGGAGCGUAGGCGGGAGUGCAAGUCAGAUGUGAAAUACAUGGGCUCAACCCAUGGGCUGCAUUUGAAACUGCAUAUCUUGAGUGAAGUAGAGGUAAGCGGAAUUCCUGGUGUAGCGGUGAAAUGCGUAGAUAUCAGGAGGAACACCGGUGGCGAAGGCGGCUUACUGGGCUUUUACUGACGCUGAGGCUCGAAAGCGUGGGGAGCAAACAGGAUUAGAUACCCUGGUAGUCCACGCUGUAAACGAUGAUUACUAGGUGUGGGGGGACUGACCCCUUCCGUGCCGCAGUUAACACAAUAAGUAAUCCACCUGGGGAGUACGGCCGCAAGGUUGAAACUCAAAUGAAUUGGCGGGG
rnacentral:rRNA from 1 species